rnacentral:pre_miRNA from 14 species
UUCUUGACCAUUUGUGAUACUGAAGGAAUCCCGAAGGGGGACCCUUACUCAAGUCUUGGGAAAUUGCGGACCCCAGACACAGAGAGACCA